rnacentral:lncRNA from 1 species
UUUUUUUAAAUAAUAAUAAGAAAAAAGAAAAUUAGAAAAAAUACAAAAAAAUAUACUAUUUACAUUUUGGCCCCCAUUUUUUUAAAAUUACAUUUUGGCCUCACUUUUUCUAAAAUUACAUUUUGGCCCUGAGAGUUUUGCGUCUUCUACAAUUCAGUCCUUCUGGCGCGCCAGACUGUCCCUUAGUAGUAGCCAAGUGUACUUCGUGCCCCCACCCUUAGCUAUUUUCAGCGGUUGGCCUAGGCUCAUGAUAGCCCUUGUCCUUCUAUUUCUACCUGAAAAUAGAGAUGGAGAAUGAGGGAUCAGCAUAAAAGAAGGUUUUCGGGAGCAGUAAAAAAAAGGAGGAAGGAAAAAAAAUAGAAAGCUUCCGAAAAAAUGAGAAAAAUCUUUCUUUACCUUCCAGUCCCCACGACCAUUUCCCCAGACCACCACUGCAACCGCCCAUCACCCCUACUGCCUCACCACUCCCAACACACCCAUCAUCCCUACCUAUAGUCACCGACUCUCGGCCAUUCUCACCAUUUUUCUCCAUCGCCUCUGGCCCCUCUCUCGGGUAUCACCAGUGGCCCUCCAUCACCGAUCAUCAUUCUCUCCCUCCCUCAACCGAAAGUAAGCCUCUAAAAAUCAACCAUCUUGGUACCACCGUAGCAGCACCCUCCAUCACCUCACCAUUUAGGCACCACCAUCAUUGCCCUACUCAUCACCUCCACUCAAAAUACCAAACCUAACAAAACCAAGUAACCGAAAGCAAUAACCAAAACCAAAUAACAGAAAAUUAGUAAAAAAAAGAAGCAAAAAAUAGAAAGGAAAGUCAAAGGACUUAUCUGUUCAAGUUCGGGUUCAGAAUUAUGGAUCUCUGUUUGACAAUCCGAAUAAGGGUAAGACAAACCACGGCAUGAUGUACCACAUACGGAGACCGGUGGUGAUCUAAUGGUGUAAAAGGGAGAUUGGAAAAAGAAAGAGAUCAAAGCUUUGACCUUUGUUUCAUCAAAUUUGGGUCAAAUUCUUGGAAACCUAACAGACCAUUUGAAGAGAGAUGGUGGAGAGGAGUGUUUUAAUUGUGCCCGAUCGGAGCUCCGACAACUCUAAAUGGCGGCAAGUAAGUUUAAAAGAGGCUAGGGUUAGAGAGAAAAAGAGAAAAAGAAAGAAAAAAGAAAGAAAAAGAAGAAAAAGAAAGAAAAAAAGAAUAAUAAAAAAGAACAAUCGGGUCCGACCCGACCCGUACCACUGAACCCGACCUGACCCGUAUCACCGAACCGAGUUCAACCCGUUGCAGCAGCAGAUCCACUCCAGCCGCAACCCAAUCCAGUCAGCCCAACAGCAGCAGACCAACCCAACAGACUCACUCCAGCAGCAGCCCAAUCC